GACGAACGCUGGCGGCGUGCUUAACACAUGCAAGUCGAGCGAGGCCCACCUUUCGGGGUGGUGUCCUAGCGGCGAACGGGUGAGUAACACGCGGGCAACCUGCCCCCGGCUCGGGGAUAACCCCAAGAAAUUGGGGCUAAUACCGGAUACGACCGCUGACCGCAUGGUCUGGUGGUGGAAAGAUUUAUCGGCUGGGGAUGGGCCCGCGGCCUAUCAGCUUGUUGGUGGGGUAGUGGCCUACCAAGGCGACGACGGGUAGCCGGCCUGAGAGGGUGACCGGCCACACUGGGACUGAGACACGGCCCAGACUCCUACGGGAGGCAGCAGUGGGGAAUAUUGCGCGAUGGGCGAAAGCCUGACGCAGCGACGCCGCGUGGGGGAUGACGGCCUUCGGGUUGUAAACCUCUUUCAGCAGGGACGAAGCCCGCAAGGGUGACGGUACCUGCAGAAGAAGCACCGGCCAACUACGUGCCAGCCGCCGCGGUAA
rnacentral:rRNA from 1 species